GCCCCUGCUGGCCGGUCCGCCUUCUUGGUGUGUACUUGCUCAGCGGGGGCUUACCUCCUGGUGAGCGGCGAUGUCCUUUAUUGGGUGUCGCCGGGAACCAGGACAUUUACUUUGAAAAAAUUAGAGUGUUCAAAGCAGGCCUACGCCCGAAUACAUUAGCAUGGAAUAAUAGAAUAGGAC
rnacentral:rRNA from 1 species